AUUGAACGCUGGCGGCAGGCCUAACACAUGCAAGUCGAACGGUAACAGGAAGAAGCUUGCUUCUUUGCUGACGAGUGGCGGACGGGUGAGUAAUGUCUGGGAAACUGCCUGAUGGAGGGGGAUAACUACUGGAAACGGUAGCUAAUACCGCAUAACGUCGCAAGACCAAAGAGGGGGACCUUCGGGCCUCUUGCGAUCGGAUGUGCCCAGAUGGGAUUAGCUAGUAGGUGGGGUAACGGCUCACCUAGGCGACGAUCCCUAGCUGGUCUGAGAGGAUGACCAGCCACACUGGAACUGAGACACGGUCCAGACUCCUACGGGAGGCAGCAGUGGGGAAUAUUGCACAAUGGGCGCAAGCCUGAUGCAGCCAUGCCGCGUGUAUGAAGAAGGCCUUCGGGUUGUAAAGUACUUUCAGCGGGGAGGAAGGGAGUAAAGUUAAUACCUUUGCUCAUUGACGUUACCCGCAGAAGAAGCACCGGCUAACUCCGUG
rnacentral:rRNA from 1 species